rnacentral:lncRNA from 1 species
AUGUCCUUGAAAUGCCUUUUUAUUUUUCUUGGUGUUCGAUGCCAUGCCGAAGAGAGGCGCUUUCAAUUUUACGCAUGCCAGCAAGAUUAUAUGUAACGUUAAGUAUACACAAUUAAGAAAGUGUGCAGAAAUUGAUUAAUUUCUCUCUUCUUACAAGUAUUUUUAAUCUUUUUGUUAGGACUUGGGAGUUUAGUGGAAGAGUGAAAGGUAAAAGCUGGAUAUUGUAGACACAACAAGUGCUCAAGAAUCAAGAUGCUUUUCUAGCUGGAGUAUCAUCAAAACAGUAAUGCAUUAAAACAGUCUAUCUAUACUCAAUCGUUCUUAAAAGGGUAGUGAAUGAACCACUUGAAAGUAUAUGAUAUCCUAUGUUCUUGGUUUAGAUGGGAAUAGCAUGGCAAAAGUGUUUUAUGAGCUUUGUACAGUGUAAUUGAGGGUGUCUUGGUGGCGUCUUUGUUCGGUCUUAGUUCAAUGGUUGGAUUGCUGAUGAAUCUAGGCGUUGUUUUGCCUAUUGUCUUUAAUGAUUCAAAGUAUAUUCACUAUGAGGGUGCUAAGGUUUAAACCAAGCGUCCGCUAAGUAUUGAAGAGGGCCACUUAAGGGAAAAAAUGAGCUAAAAGCUUUACGAAAAGAUUUUGAAGGCCAAUGAGCAAACUUUGAAGCUACGGUGUGAAAUAUUAU